CCUUCCCUCUGGCGGCAUGCCUAACACAUGCAAGUCGAACGAAGGCUUCGGCCUUAGUGGCGCACGGGUGCGUAACGCGUGGGAAUCUGCCCCUUGGUUCGGAAUAACAGUUAGAAAUGACUGCUAAUACCGGAUGAUGACGUAAGUCCAAAGAUUUAUCGCCGAGGGAUGAGCCCGCGUAGGAUUAGCUAGUUGGUGUGGUAAGAGCGCACCAAGGCGACGAUCCUUAGCUGGUCUGAGAGGAUGAUCAGCCACACUGGGACUGAGACACGGCCCAGACUCCUACGGGAGGCAGCAGUGGGGAAUAUUGGACAAUGGGCGAAAGCCUGAUCCAGCAAUGCCGCGUGAGUGAUGAAGGCCUUAGGGUUGUAAAGCUCUUUUACCCGGGAUGAUAAUGACAGUACCGGGAGAAUAAGCUCCGGCUAACUCCGUG
rnacentral:rRNA from 1 species